AUUGAACGCUGGCGGCAUGCCUUGCACAUGCAAGUCGAACGGCAGCACGGGUGCUUGCACCUGGUGGCGAGUGGCGAACGGGUGAGUAAUAUAUCGGAACGUACCUUAUUGUGGGGGAUAACGCAGCGAAAGCUGUGCUAAUACCGCAUAAUCCCUAAGGGGGAAAGCGGGGGACCGUAAGGCCUCGCGCAAUUAGAGCGGCCGAUACCUGAUUAGCUAGUUGGUGAGGUAAAGGCUCACCAAGGCAACGAUCAGUAGCUGGUCUGAGAGGACGAUCAGCCACACUGGGACUGAGACACGGCCCAGACUCCUACGGGAGGCAGCAGUGGGGAAUUUUGGACAAUGGGGGCAACCCUGAUCCAGCAAUGCCGCGUGAGUGAAGAAGGCCUUCGGGUUGUAAGGCUCUUUUGUCAGGGAAGAAACAGCAGCUCUAACACAGUUUGCGAAUGACGGUACCUGAAGAAUAAGCACCGGCUAACUACGUGCCAGCCGCCGCGGUAA
rnacentral:rRNA from 1 species